rnacentral:lncRNA from 1 species
CUAUACUUCACGAGGUUGAGUCUGCUAGAACUUGUAUGGAUCAAAAGUGAAUGAGGAUCCACAAUAAUUCAUAGAUGACAUGCUAAAGAUUACCUAUGUUAUGAACACUACUAGAAAGAAAGUGUGGACUUUGCAUCAUAUCAACUGACAGGUGUUUCUCAUGAUUGAUAUAAAUUAUGAAAUAAAGGUAGAGGUGGAGAUGCAACUAGUAUGUUGGGAAGAGUUCAAAUAAAUAUUUUUUCAUAGAUUC